rnacentral:rRNA from 1 species
GACGAACGCUGGCGGCGUGCCUAAUACAUGCAAGUAGAACGCUGAAGGAGGAGCUUGCUCUUCUGGAUGAGUUGCGAACGGGUGAGUAACGCGUAGGUAACCUGCCUGGUAGCGGGGGAUAACUAUUGGAAACGAUAGCUAAUACCGCAUAACAGUAGAUGUUGCAUGACAUUUGCUUAAAAGGUGCACUUGCAUCACUACCAGAUGGACCUGCGUUGUAUUAGCUAGUUGGUGGGGUAACGGCUCACCAAGGCGACGAUACAUAGCCGACCUGAGAGGGGGAACGGCCACACUGGGACUGAGACACGGCCCAGACUCCUACGGGAGGCAGCAGUAGGGAAUCUUCGGAAAUGGACGGAAGUCUGAACGAGCAACGCCGCGUGAGUGAAGAAGGUUUUCGGAUCGUAAAGCUCUGUUGUAAGAGAAGAACGAGUGUGAGAGUGGAAAGUUCACACUGUGACGGUAGCUUACCAGAAAGGGACGGCUAACUACGUG